UGGGGAAUAUUGGACAAUGGGCGCAAGCCUGAUCCAGCCAUGCCGCGUGAGUGAUGAAGUCCCUAGGGUUGUAAAGCUCUUUCACCGGUGAAGAUAAUGACGGUAACCGGAGAAGAAGCCCCGGCUAACUUCGUGCCAGCAGCCGCGGUAAUACGAAGGGGGCUAGCGUUGUUCGGAUUUACUGGGCGUAAAGCGCACGUAGGCGGACUUUUAAGUCAGGGGUGAAAUCCCGGGGCUCAACCCCGGAACUGCCUUUGAUACUGGAAGUCUUGAGUAUGGUAGAGGUGAGUGGAAUUCCGAGUGUAGAGGUGAAAUUCGUAGAUAUUCGGAGGAACACCAGUGGCGAAGGCGGCUCACUGGACCAUUACUGACGCUGAGGUGCGAAAGCGGGGGGAGCAAACAGG
rnacentral:rRNA from 1 species